CCAUGUGAUCUAUCAAGAACUGCUGAAACUCUGGCGACUCAACCUUAGGUGCAGAAGAUUUAAUGGCAUCUUCAUUGGACUUGUUGGAUUUUGUUAAAUCAAGCGUAAUUGUGUUAUUAACAGGUCUCGAUGUGUUGAGAGAGGCUGAGCCUGGAACUGAACUCAGAGUCGAUGCAGUUCGGUUAGAACCCGAGUUAUUGGCCUCAACUUUAGCAGGGUGAGGAUGGUUAUGCUCACCCUCGUACGUUGCUACUAAGAUAGAUUGAUCCUCAACACUUCUCUGAACCUGAAAAAGACCAUAACAUAACAACUUAGCAUCCUUUUAUGUUGUGUAUUACUAGGUUAAAUGAUGUUCUGUCAUAAAGAAUAGAUAGUCACCUUCUUCUUGACAGGGCAAGUAGGGGCAAAAGAGCAUUUGAAGUAAGCUCUAGGGCAAGGGUUAUCCCUGGUGACCUUUUGGCCAUAUUUCCUCCAUUGAUAACCAUCUUUAACUAGUAGUCCUGUGGUAUCAGAAGG
rnacentral:lncRNA from 1 species